rnacentral:rRNA from 1 species
AGAGUUUGAUCCUGGCUCAGAUUGAACGCUGGCGGCAUGCCUUACACAUGCAAGUCGAACGGCAGCAUGAUCUAGCUUGCUAGAUUGAUGGCGAGUGGCGAACGGGUGAGUAAUACAUCGGAACGUGCCCUGUAGUGGGGGAUAACUAGUCGAAAGAUUAGCUAAUACCGCAUACGACCUGAGGGUGAAAGUGGGGGACCGCAAGGCCUCAUGCUAUAGGAGCGGCCGAUGUCUGAUUAGCUAGUUGGUGAGGUAAAGGCUCACCAAGGCGACGAUCAGUAGCUGGUCUGAGAGGACGAUCAGCCACACUGGGACUGAGACACGGCCCAGACUCCUACGGGAGGCAGCAGUGGGGAAUUUUGGACAAUGGGCGAAAGCCUGAUCCAGCAAUGGCCGCGUGUGUGAAGAAGGCCUUCGGGUUGUAAAGCACUUUUGUCCGGAAAGAAAUGGCUCUGGUUAAUACCUGGGGUCGAUGACGGUACCGGAAGAAUAAGGACCGGCUAACUACGUGCCAGCAGCCGCGGUAAUACGUAGGGUCCAAGCGUUAAUCGGAAUUACUGGGCGUAAAGCGUGCGCAGGCGGUUGUGCAAGACCGAUGUGAAAUCCCCGAGCUUAACUUGGGAAUUGCAUUGGUGACUGCACGGCUAGAGUGUGUCAGAGGGGGGUAGAAUUCCACGUGUAGCAGUGAAAUGCGUAGAGAUGUGGAGGAAUACCGAUGGCGAAGGCAGCCCCCUGGGAUAACACUGACGCUCAUGCACGAAAGCGUGGGGAGCAAACAGGAUUAGAUACCCUGGUAGUCCACGCCCUAAACGAUGUCAACUAGUUGUUGGGGACUCAUUUCCUUAGUAACGUAGCUAACGCGUGAAGUUGACCGC